GACGAACCGAGCGAACGUUGUUCGGAAUCACUGGGCUUAAAGGGCGCGUAGGCGGGUGCUCAAGUCUGGGGUGAAAUCCCGCGGCUCAACCGUGGAACUGCCUCAGAUACUGACGGCCUCGAGGGAGGUAGGGGCGAGCGGAACUGUGAGUGGAGCGGUGAAAUGCGUUGAUAUUCACAGGAACUCCGGUGGCGAAGGCGGCUCGCUGGACCUCUUCUGACGCUGAGGCGCGAAAGCCAGGGGAGCAAACAGG
rnacentral:rRNA from 1 species